rnacentral:rRNA from 1 species
UACGUAGGGUACUAGCGUUGUCCGGAUUUAUUGGGUUUAAAGGGUGCGUAGGCGGACUGGUAAGUCAGCUGUGAAAGUUUACGGCUCAACCGUGAAAUUGCAGUUGAUACUGUUGGUCUUGAGUAUAGAUGAGGUGGGCGGAAUUUUUGGUGUAGCGGUGAAAUGCUUAGAUAUCACAAAGAACUCCAAUUGCGAAGGCAGCUCACUGGGGUAUAACUGACGCUGAUGCACGAAGGUGUGGGUAGCAAACAGG